rnacentral:rRNA from 1 species
AUUGAACGCUGGCGGCAGGCCUAACACAUGCAAGUCGAACGGUAGCAGGAAGAAGCUUGCUUCUUUGCUGACGAGUGGCGGACGGGUGAGUAAUGUCUGGGAAACUGCCUGAUGGAGGGGGAUAACUACUGGAAACGGUAGCUAAUACCGCAUAACGUCGCAAGACCAAAGAGGGGGACCUUCGGGCCUCUUGCCAUCGGAUGUGCCCAGAUGGGAUUAGCUAGUAGGUGGGGUAACGGCUCACCUAGGCGACGAUCCCUAGCUGGUCUGAGAGGAUGACCAGCCACACUGGAACUGAGACACGGUCCAGACUCCUACGGGAGGCAGCGGUGGGGAAUAUUGCACAAUGGGCGCAAGCCUGAUGCAGCCAUGCCGCGUGUAUGAAGAAGGCCUUCGGGUUGUAAAGUACUUUCAGCGGGGAGGAAGGGAGUAAAGUUAAUACCUUUGCUCAUUGACGUUACCCGCAGAAGAAGCACCGGCUAACUCCGUG